UGGGGGAUAUUAGAAAUGGACGAAAGUCUGAUCUAGCAACACCGCGUGUGCGAAGAAGGCCUUCGGGUUGUAAAGCACUUUUUGGAAGGAUUAGGAAGGAAUGUACUUCCAGAAUAAGCCUCGGCGAACUACGUGCCAGCAGCCGCGGUAAAACGUAGGAGGCUAGCGUUAUCCGGAUUUAUUGGGCGUAAAGUGCGUGCAGGCGGUCUGGUAAGUUGGAUGUGAAAGCUCCUGGCUUAACUGGGAGAGGUCGUUCAAUACUGUCAGACUAGAGAAUGGGAGAGGGAGGUGGAAUUCCAGGUGUAGCGGUGGAAUGCGCAGAUAUCUGGAGGAACACCAGUGGCGAAGGCGGCCUCCUGGACCAUUCCUGACACUCAGACGCGAAAGCUAGGGUAGCAAACG
rnacentral:rRNA from 1 species